ensembl:snRNA U5 U5 spliceosomal RNA
CAUAUUUUGUUUAUCUUCAAAACUAAUAAAUCUUUUGCCUUUUAUCAAACAUUUCCGUGGAGAAAAACAGUUAUGAUAUAGUAACCAAAUUUUUUGAGGUCUUGCUCAGGCAAGGCU